rnacentral:lncRNA from 1 species
CUUCUAUAUGCACUUUUAGAAUACCUACAAGUUGGGCUUCUUAAUUAGGGAUCACUAGAAGGGUGUCAAUAGGUGCAUGAGGAAGUGGCUUCAAUUCUAGAGCAGGUGGUGCUUCUAAUAAAAGAGCUAUUAGGGGGUUAGGUGAUGGCUCAUAAUUUUUGAUCCAAAGUGGGGUAGUUUCAUGGUAGGGUGUAUCUAUUA